rnacentral:lncRNA from 1 species
GGAGUGGAGGUUAGGUGUACUGUAAAUGGAGAUAAAGGAAAUGAUGGUGGUAGUAGUGUGCUGUGGGCGGUAUGCUUAUGUUGGUGAGGUAAUGGUGGUUCUAGAGGUAGUGGUGCCCAACUAUUGUUGUGUUGUUGAUGAUGAUGGUGGUGGUGGUUGUUGUGGUGGCGAUGACGGUGACGAGUAGGGUGUCUAUGACCAAAAUUAGGCGUUUGUGACCAACUAUUUGGCUGAUUUGUAACUAAAUAUUAGGUGUCUGUGACUAAAAAAUAAUUUGUAAAUAAUAACUUGUGACUUAUGUGACAUUUAAUUUGAAUGAUCUGUAAUUUCGAAAUAAUAUGUAAUUACAAGAUUUUUGAAUUGUGACCACAAAAUAAUUUGUGACCUAUUAUUUGAUGAUAUGUGACCAAUAAAUAAAUCUGUGACCUAUAAUUAUGAAUUUGUGGCCAUUAAUCAUGUACCUGUGAAUUAUCUUUAUUUAAUAAAUAUUUUUAAUUAAUUAAAUAUAUACCUGAUUCUUGAAAUUUCAAAUUAUUUACUCGAUUUUUGAAUGAGGGUAAACAUAACACUUGAAAUGUGAUUUUUUCCCUACUAAAAAUUGGCAGCCCAUUAGGUUAAAUCUUAAGCCCAAUAUCAUAAUAUUGAUUAGAAGGAUCCAAUUAUUCAAAGCUCUUAAAACUCAUUUGAUAUGACUUUUAAAAAAUAUGCAGACAUUUCUAUUUCAUCAACCUCUCUUCGAGAUAGUGACAAAUUAUUGUGCCUUUCAUAUAGGUCGAAACUUACCUGACAAGAAAUUUUGCUACCUUAGAACCAUUAUAAUUAUGAGCACCAUUCAUUGGGACUAUGCUCGUUGACUCCUCUGUCUUUAGGUCACCACCUUCUUUGACUUUUUGGCAUUGGACAUGUGUAGCCCCAAACACAGUCUUACGAGUUUGUGGAGACAUGUUUUUGGUAAACAGUUGCUCAGGCUUCGUUAAAGAAAUUUUUAAAAUCCAAAAGUUUCUUUUUUUGAUUCAUUUAAUUAAUUUUUAAAAAUAGUACUUCUUCUAAUUAGAAGAAUUUUUAGAAAAUUUUGAAAUCUUUUGUACAAAUUAACUUUCAAACAUUCAUUAAGGUCACUUUUUAGAAAACUUUUAUAUUAUAAGUAAAAGCAAAAGCAAAAACCCUUCUAAACGGAACCUUAGUUAGCUCCAAUCUAAUGAACAGAAAGAAGUGAUGAAAAGAAUUCUUACUAACUUGGUAACAUAUGCUGGGACUAAUAAUUAAUAUUUUGUGAUUUACCCUAUUCUUUCGUUUAUUGAGCAAAAUAUGUAAGAAAAGGUCGAUCGGAUAACCCUUAAGGUGUGUUUGAUUACGAGAAUGAAAUUUACAUGGAAAAAAAAAUAAAUUCUAAGCAAUUGAAUUACCUAGAAAUUAUUUCCAUAAAAAUUGUCAAUUAGAUGUGUUUAAUUGACUUUAUUUCAACCUAAAAAAUGUUAUACUUGUCCAUUUUUUAUUGGUAGGUAGAUGAGAGAGAAAGAUAGAGUGAAUUAUCUAAAAAAUAAAAACCUAAUUCCAUUAAAGAAAAUAUUUUCUUUGUUUUUAAGGAAAAUAUGAUCAUGUGACCAAAAGUAGGAAAAUAUUUUUCAUAAAAAAAAAUAUUAAUCAAACAACACAAAGUAUGAAUUUGGUUGAAAAAAAUAUUUUUUUAAUGAAAAAUAUUGAUAACUAAUUCUUUGAUUGAUAGAUGUUUCAAAAGGCUUAUAUUUAGAUGAAAGUGAAUAUUAGGGUUUGUUAUAUUAUAAAAUUGUAUUGUACAAUCUAAGAGCGGAAACUUUCGGGGUUGACACGAUUAUUAAGAUGGAGAACAUGACUAGACUAAACUCUACACGAUUUUAACUUUUUUUUUUAAUUUAUUAAUAUUGUUGACCACGCACCAAUUCUAUUUACCAAAUGUAUUGUAACAAAUUUAGCCCCUCUUUGAUUUUCAUUUGUUGACCACAAAAAUGAAAAAUAUGAUCAUUAUUCAUCAUAUUAAGUCAUCAUAUUUAACUUUUCAUUUCUUGUGUGGAUCCUGUAACGACUACAUUUUUCAUUUUUAUACUUACAAAAAUGAGUACCAAAGGGACACUCAUUAAUGCUGGUUCUUGUAUAUUGUGAAUUUCCAUUUUAAAAUGUUUUAUCAUUGUUUUUGACUACCAAGAAACACAAUUCGCCAGUCAUCCAUUGUUUACAUUUUACAACGCUCAAAUCAGAUGAUCGGUUGAAAACAAUAUUUUAUUUAUAUGAGACAACGGAAUCAAAAAUCGAUAAAAUUUGGACAUGUCCAUCAUAGCUUGUGGGUGGUUGAUGAGCCAAAACAAAACAAAGUUGUUCUUGUUGUGGACCAAAUUUCUAACCCAAGUAACAUGGUUGUCAAUUAUUAAGAGAAUAAGCGAUAUAUCAUCUAAUGAGCGACACUUGCCUUGAAAAUAUCGAAGCUGCUUUAAUUUUGAGCAAUAUUAUUCAACAAUAUUGGUAUCAGAUAUCAAUGUAGGUGAUAAUCGUAUGACAUUAAAUGAUAGAUUCAUGUAAAAUACAAUGUCACAUGAUUUAUUUAAUUGAAUCCAUCAAGUAUGACCAUCUAGACUAGUGCUCAAGAAUACAUUUUUCUUUAAUUUUAAAUUAAAGUUUAAUUUCAAAGUGACCCGGACUUCAACCGAGGUGUUGGGAGUGCAUUUGGCUUCAAACCAACAACCAACAUGGAGUUUAGGGGCGGACCCACAUGGGGUCAUGUGGGGUCAAAUGACCCCACAGUUUUUUUUUUCCAUUUUUUCCAUUUUAUUUUAAAUUUUCUGCUGCUGAAACGAUUAUUUGGGUUUGGGAUUCUAAAUUCCAAUUAAUUAUCCACUCCAAUCCAUUAAUCCUAUGAAUUUAUUUUCGUUAAUGAUACGUUGUUCGAAAAAAAUUUCAUUUUUGACCCCACAGUCCGAAGUCUCCGGGUCCGCCCCUGAUGGAGUUUGUUUCUGAAUAUUGUCCCAGGUCACCAGCUUAAAUUCUUCAAUAGCCUCACUUCCGAAAGUGCAUAACUUUUGGUUCACAACUUUGAAUUGUGAUCCAUUUUUUGUGUUGAAUUACAAUGAUAUAUCAUUUUUCCUGCAGAUAUAAUUUUAUCAAACGUACUCUAAUUUUCUUACAUGUUUCGCAUGCAAGUUCUUUGUUUUGCUUAUUUUGAUCCUAUCAUGCUCAAACUCCAUUCUUUUUGCAUCAAUUAUCUUGAAUUGAAGUUUCUCAUACAACAAUAAUAUAUGCAUUAAUAUUACAUAGAUUUUGUUACACUAAAUUGAAAAUACACGAAUUUUUUUUAUUUAGUAUUGAGUUUAUAGCAUUAUUUAUCAUUAAUAUUUUUUCUCGAUAAAAUAAUUUUGCACCUAAGUCUAUUUUUUUUAUUUAUUAAUCACAUAUUUUUCAGAAAAAAAUUAUUUUUACAAAAUCUAUUCUCAAAAUGAGCUUAUUUUUGUUCAGUUGAUCUAUUAGAAAAACAAAAAUUACAUCCUCAAAUCAAGUGGCCAACAACAGAAGUGUCAUACUUUUUAGGUAUAAGGUAUUGACCAAUUACUAUUGUUCCAAAUGCACUUUGGGAGUUUGCGUAGAAAAAAUGGUUUUGAAGAACGCAGAAUGCCGCCAAACACGACUCGAAGUUAUUGAGCAAAAACAAGUGAGCCCAAAACAAUUAUAUAUUUACAAAAUAAAAACUCUCUAAUUUUUUAUUUUCUUGUUUUUGAAAUUCUUAAGACAACCUAGGUGGUGAUGGUGGUUGGCUAAGGUUGUGGCAAUUAUUAGGUUUUCGCCGCCAGUUUGUGGCGGGAGAAUCCCAUGAUUUGGUGGGUCGUGGUUGGAUUUGGUUGAGUGCUGGUAGUAUUGUGUGGUGUGGCAUGACGAUGGUGGUGUGGGGACGAAUAGGUGGAGGAAAGAAGUGAUAGGUCUUAUUAUUUAUUUUUUUCAUUUUUUCUUGAUUCGACACAUUUGUCCCUUCAAAAUAAAAAACAAGAUAAGAGUAAUUUCAUUUUGUGAAUAUCAACAAUUUUGUUGGACGAAAUCCAUCCAAAGGAUCAUUUGCACCAAAAUUUAUAGGUUUGGACUAAAAAUGCAAGAUAGAUAAAGGUUUGGAACCACUCUGCCAAUUUCCCUUUUUGUUAUUUUAAUGGAUAGAGAGUAGGAAAGUAAAUAUUAAAUUCAUAAAAGAUCUGUGAUUGAAUUUUAUAUAUUGACUUAUUAGCACAAAACGCCUCUACAUUUAGUUUUUAGUGUGCAAAACGUCCGUACAUUUCCCUAUUUUCAUGUUCCAUUGUAGAAAACAUCAAUUUUAUCAAUUUUUAUCCAAUUUAUCAAUUAAAGAUUGUAAAAUGAAAUAUACCCUCCUAUUUAAAUAAAUAAUGAUAAUAAUAAUAAUAAUAAUAAUAAUAAUAAUAAUAAUAAUAAUAAUAAAGAACACAUUGCAAUCAUACUCCUAUUUUAUUUUUUUUAAAGUAGAAAUAAAUUUCAAAUAAAUUAAAUUUAAAAGUCAAAAAAGAAAAGAAAAAUCCCCCCCCCCCCCCCUCUCUUUCUCUUCCACCCAUUCCCAUUCCUACCCCUACUCCUCAUCGAUAGCACGAAAAGAAACCUAAAAAUAGAUUGGAAAAUAUUAGAUGAUGUAGAAAUACUAAAAUUCAAUCUCCCUCACUCCCACCCUACCAAGAACUUAAAAUAGCACUUUUGGGUCCUUCAAAUUCCAUAAAUUUUUGGGGGUAAUUUUCUAAUUUUGAAAAAAAGUUUGCCUUCAAGGAAUAUGGAUAACGGUGUUAUUAGUGGUUGGUCUAGUUGUAAACAUGGCAGAGGCGGCAGUUCAGUGACUACAAAUUUACAUCUGUUCAAAGGAAAGAGCUUGGAAGACAAACCAUGAUCUAUAAGGAUUAUUCGCACAGUGUCCCUAAGUUUGGCUUUUAGUGUGCAAAGCAUCCCUACGUUUCAAAUUUUUACAUUUUUUACCUCUGUGUAGGGAUGGUAAUCGGGCUCGCCGGCUCGAGCUGUCCGUGGCUCGGUACCCGAGCCCCAUUUUGGGGACACGGGCUUUGCCCGAGCCGACCCGUGAGCUUGUAAGCUUUUUUUUAAAAAAAAAAAAAAAAAUUAAAGGCAGCCAAGCUGCGACCUUUUAAGGCAACAGUUUAGGAGGAGGAAAAAAAAGGAGGGGAGAAAACGAACCUGCCACGCUCGGCCGCCUAUUUUUUUGGCCGAGCUUUUGCUCGGCUCGGCUCGAGCCCUCAAAAAAGCUCGGCCAUUUUAACCUGGGCAAGCCUGAGCAGAAACUUUAGGCUUGCGAGCCGACUUGACCCGGCUCCUUUACAUCCCUACCUCUGUGCUUGUUGAUCUUCUCUUUCAUGUACCACCAAACCUUUCAAUUUCCUGUAAAUCGGUUCUUCUUUUUCUUAGAUGAUUUGUUCUUUUUACACUUUUGGUACUCAAUUGGUGUGUUGAAUGCGAUGACUAGUCAUCUAGAAAGGUGCAAGCGAACGGAUGUCAAGAAAAGGAGGUUCUCAAGAGAUGUGGUGCCCCAUCACAAGUACUGUGAGAUCCACCUGCAGAAAAGUCGUCCUCGUUCAAGAAAGCUUGUGAAAGUCAAGAACGACAUUGGCAAUAACAAGAAGAAAAGCCCUCUUUUGUUUAAUCUUAAAAUCGAUCUAAGAAUUUCUACAUCCUCCAGUAAGAAAUAUGAGCGAUUGGUUUUUAGCAUUUUUACAUUCCUUAAGUAUUUCCCAAUCUUUUUUCUGGUUUAUUUUCGUGGUGAAGGUGAGGGGUGGGGAUGGGGAUGAGGGUGGAAGAGGGAGAGGGAGAUGAAGAUUUUUCUUUUUUUUAUUUGAUUUUUUAAUUUAAUUUAAUUUAAUUGGGAUUUAUUUGUACUCUUUAAAAAAAAUGGAAGCGUAAUUGCAAUUUGUUCUUUAUUUGUUCUUUUUGUUUUAUUUAAAUAAGAGAAUAUAUUUGUUAUUUUACAAUUUUUAAUUGAGAAACCGUAAUGAAACUUGAUAAUAUGGGCGAAACCGUGAAAAUGCAAAAAAUUGGAAUGUAAUGAUAUUUUGCACACUAAGAGUCAGACGUAUGGACGUUUUGUGCUAAUAAGCCUUUUUAUAUUUAUACAAUUAUUAUAUACUCUGGGCACAAUGAUGCAUCUGCAUAAUCCAAUCAUAUAUUGGAGUCACCUAGGGGCGGACACACUAUCGAGCAUAGUGGGGCACUUGACCCACCAAAUUUCCAAAAUUUGGUUUUUUCGUUUUAUUUUUAAGCUCCAAAUUCAAUUGGUUGAGUUGUUUACGUGAUUUGUUCAUAAUUGUGUGAAGAAUAAUAGAUUCAAGUACUUGUUUAAAUGAGUAAAAAAAAUAAUGGGAGCCAUUGAUCACAAUUAACCAUUACAUAGUAAAUUACCUAGUACACAAGUUUUGAACUCAAGAUUACGAGCAUCGAAAUAUUGCCUUUGUAAAUUAUAUAUUUUGCUUACCAAACUUUGAUUAUUAAUAAGCAAAAGGAUAACUUCUCUGCUCAUAAGCUAAGUGAACAACGUGGACUGAAGCUAAAUUUAUUCUCAUUAUGCUCCCGUGGAAACAAUGUGUGGAAUAGCUUGAAGAGAAGGAGAAAGUGGCAAAUAAAAAUGUAUGCAUUGAUCCGUUCCUAACUCAUAUCAACAAAUUUAAAGAUCCAAUCAUUCUACUUAAAGUUCGAACAGGAUUAUGUUGCAUAGGUAUUGUGUUCCAUAACUCAAAAUGUCUGCAUCCGUCACUAGGUCACAACCUAAAAAUGUUAAAUUGAAUAAUCCUAACUUUUUGAGAUUUGAGAAGUCUGUUUUUGUUUGUUUAAAAAUAUAAAUUUAACUGCAAUUGAGACAUAAAUUAUAGAAAUAUUCGAAGUGCCAAGCAAGACUCAAGUAGAUUACACUAUCCCUAUAGUUUGCAGAAGGCCUUUAAUUUGAUAAACAAUAAAAAUAAAAUCCGCUUAAAUUUUUAUCGUAUUCUUUUAAAUUACUUUUCAAAAAUUAGGUUACAAAAUUUAACAAAAUAUGCAUAUCACGCACCAACACAUAUAAGAAAAGCCUUCACGGCAUUAUUGGAUAAUAUGAACUUUAAAUAUUGCUCUGUAUAGAGAACCAACCAAACAUUAUUAUAAUAAAAGUCGGGAUGAGGAUAGAGUGAUGGCCUUAAUCAGCAAAUUAGGUCAUUGUGUUAAUUUGUGUAGAAAUUAGGUUAUGUUCUUAGUAUAUGAAUGAACAUUUACCCAAAAUGAUGAUGUAAAUGAGAUGUGCAUUUAAUAUAUAUAUAUAUAUAUAGUUUCACACGCUGAAUAUUAUUAACAUCUCUAGUUUUAUGUAAACCUCGUUUUCUCCAUCGUCAAUUCCAGAAGUCACACACUUCUACUGAUUGACAUUUAAAGAGUGGUAUCUGUUCAAUUAGGCGAAGAACUUUGAGGGAAACAAAAAAGGCACUUCGAGCCAAGCAUCAGUCCUAAUAGUUGCUUGCUGUAUAUAUAUAUAUAUAUUUUUUUUUUUUUUUUUUCCAGUGUUGAACUAAUUGGCUGAUUUCCAUGAUUGAAGCCUUUUUGAGUAAAACAAUCUUCUUUCUUUAUUUCCAAAUCAAAAUUAUAUCAUUUUUUUGCCCUUUUUCUCUUUUGGCACUCUAAAGUGUGACAUUUUUUAAUGGAGAUUUCACUUUUGCGAGCCACUAUCUUCGAGUAAGAUUGCCCUGUUGAUCUCAAAUUACUAAGUUCAUCUCUAAAUUUAAAAUGCUAUAUUUGUUACAAAUCAAUUUUUAUAGUUCGAACUUAUAAGACCAGUAUUAAAGAGAAAAUUAUUCAAGUCUAUUCAGUUAGAACGUGACAUUCAUGUAUCUUUGUAAAAUGAGGUUUUGCUUUCAAAUUUGGACUAAUGUCUAUAAAUUAGAAUCGAUGUUGUUAACGUGAGGGUCACAUGGUAAUUUAAUAGACUUGGAUCAUUUCGAAAAUGAAAAGUUAAUGGUAAACUUUUUGUAAUGAUCCAACAAUGUCAUAGCAUUUUGUCACGUGGCCAAACACUUGAUGGCCAAGGUUCCUCUACUAUUCUUCAAUGUAUCUUUGUAGUAACAUUUGCGUCUCCAACUUUUAGAAAAAAGUAUGUUGGUCUCAAAUCCUUCGUUAUAGUUACAAAAUCAAUCUUCAAAGACGAAACUGUUUAUAUCUAUAUCAAAUCAGAACGUAGCAUUUGCACAUUCUUCUUUAUAAAACAGAUCUUUCUUCUAGAUUGCUGCCUAGAAAUUAGAAUUGAGAGUUGUUACAAUGAGAGCCAGUGACUAUAACGCAAUUUUAAAUGCAUUUCGACCAAUUGUGCAAUUACAAUGAAAAGUUAGAGACCAACUUGCUCAUUUAAAGGUUCAGGACCAACUCAUUAUUAGGACAAUAAGUUAGAGAUUAACGUGUAAAUUUUCCUUCUUUCAGUCUUGUAGUCUUGUUCAAUUUUAUUUAUUUAUUUAUUUAUUUUUACUUUUUUUAAAAUUGUGUCUUGCCUAAUAUUCACUUAAAACUCAAACUCAAACGUAAAUAAUCAUAAAAUCAAUAUUAUGUGCGUGACACCUUCAAUCUUGUUCAAUCUCGCAUAUUCUAUUUUCGUCUAAUAUACCAUCGAUACUAUUUUUACAUUUAAUUUCAUCACUCGCUCGUGAGUGACCAUAGCAUUUCACGAGGAUUGAACCAUAUUGAAAGGUGCAUUAUCUAGUUAGGUAUCCAAACGGAACUCUCUCCAUCUUCUCCCCUCGUCUACUUGCACAUUCUUUAGUUGUCAAGUUCUGUAUGGUUCUCGUGAGAAACUUUUAUUUCCUUUCAGGUAGUGGCAAUGACGAAUCUAGGAUUGUUGGUCAGCUAAAAUGGCUGUUGACCAUUAAUCAUAGAUCGAUGAGAGUCUUGUAACAGCGAUAUUGUCUAUUAAUAUUUAAUUAAAUAAUAUUAAAAAUACACCAAUCUAUACGUAAAUGAGCUCAAGUGUAUCAAUACAACCCAAAAUAAUAAGAAAAAAUACAUAAUACAACCUGACUCCGUAACUGUAAGUUUAGACAACUACACUUUUCGAGGUCUCAUAUUUUGAAAGCUUGCAAGAUUGCCUAACUUUAAACUAUCAAUCUCUCAUCACACUGCCGUAGCUUUAAACUAUCCAACUCCUAGAUAGUAUCGCCAAAAUAGAUAUCAAAAUAAUAGACAAAAAUAAACAACAGAAAAUAAAUUUUGAAACCUAGGUUUAGAUAAAAUGUAAUCACAAGUAAUUUUUGUAAAAAUUCGAGAACCCAAAAGAAAUUAAGAUGAAAAUAAAGCCAAUCCAAGUAUAUAUUUACAUUAACUUAUGUAUAGAUACAAUGCAGAAAUAAUUUAUAAAUCAUCAAAAUCAAGAACCUAAAUUUCAAAUCACCAAUUUAUAGGUAAAUCAUCACAGUCACAUAAUAAUCAAAUGCGAACCGACUAGAAUACCGACAGCCAGUGGAGGAUUUAGUAGGUGGCCAGCUAGGGUGGCCGCCCUAACUAGAUUCGUCGGUGAGAAUUAUUUAUUUAUUUAUUAAUAAUAGACAAAAAAUUUAGGUUAUAUAAAUGGUAGUUCAUUUUACUUUCAAACUUCUCUUCAACUUAGUUGGUUAGAACUUUUUUUUAUAUAUUGUAAAUUUUGGGUUCGAUUCCUUCCCCUCCAUUUCAUUGUGCAAAAUUUUUAUUUUUACAAUAUUUACCAAAAUUAAUUCCCUAAGGAAAUGAUUCAAACAUAUAACUUCUAAAAUUAGGAUAAUUUGAAGCUUAACCAUCAUGGCAAUAGUUAAAUUUUGAAUCUAAAUUUAACAAAAUAAUAUAUACUAAGACUUUAGGAUACUUCCCCCCCCCCCCCCUUUUUUGGUUUUUGUCGUUUUAAAUAUUUUAUACUUCAAUAAUUUAUAAGAUAUGACUUAUGAGUAUUGAGUUUUAAUUUAUAUGUUAUUUGAGAAUUUGUCUACUGUGAAUUAUGAUAUUAAAAAUUAAUUUAAGUAUCGUGAAACGUGAAUAUGUGAUUCAUGAAAAUUGAAAAUGAGAAAUUGGGGAAUUUAUAAUUUAUGAUGAAUUGGUGUUGAGAAUUGGAAAUUGAAACUUUAAUUAUAUUUUAAAAUUAAAUUUAAUUACGUUUAAUUUUUAAUUAACGUUCAAUUCUUAUACUAAUUAUGGAAUGAUUUUUUCAACUGAAUUUCAAUCUAGUUCUUAUAGUGGUGUAUCUAAACUCCCAACUAAUUUUAGUCAAGCAAACGAUUUAUUAAGCAUUGAUAACACAAAGAAAUCUUAUGUAUCAUGUAAUUUAUAUUAUUUUAGAUUGUGUGGAAAUAUAAUAUGAUAUAAAUAUACAAUUUUUACAUUUUAGUAUAUUUACAUACAGAUCGAAGAAUUUUUAAUAUUAUUUAAUUUAAUAUUAAUAAACGAUAUCGUUAUACAGCCGUUGAUUAUCAACAAUCAACGGUCAACGAUUAACAGUCGCCCUAGCAGAGUCGCAAUCCUACAUUCGCCCCUGCCAAGAGCUCGCUCAAAAUUAGCAUAAGGAAAGAAGGAUUAUACAUAAACCAAAAAACCUGGAAGCAGGAACCAAAAUUUCAAAUUAAUCUUUGCACGAAGAACACAAAUUAUAGACUUAUAAACUAAAACUCCAACGGAGGAAGUCGAUGGCAGUCCAUGGCACAGCGGAUGGCAGCUCACAGCAACUCACAAGUUCACAGCGCCUAGAGAGAAUAAAAGAAAUGGAGGAAAUUGGGUGAAAAUUGAAAUCAAUUCCCGUGACAGAAAAUUUCAUAAGUAAGAGAUUACCUAUCAUCUAUUUCCAAAGUAAGAAAAAAGGUUACAAGUUCCAAAAAUCUGAUAUUUAUUAAAAUAUAUUUAUGAUUUAUUUAAUUAAUUAUAUAUUUUAAUAAUUAAAUAUAUUAAGGUCACAUUUCUAUACAAGUUGAUCACAAAUUCACAAAUUUAGUUAGCUACAUAUUAUUUUUGGACACAAAUCAAAGUUUUUAUAUGUCAUAAAUUCUUUUAUGGUCACAAUUUAAAAAUUUUAUAAGUCACGGUUUGUUCAUCGAUCAUGGAUAAAAAUUUUAUACGUCACAAUUUUAUUUAUUAGUCACAGACCACACAUAUUAUAAGUCACAAUUUAUUAAACAGUCACAAAUUAACAAUUUUAUAGGUCACAUGUUAUUUCUUGGUCACAAUUCCUUUUUCUUAUUGAUCACAUGUUGUUUAUUGAUCACAAAUUAAAUCAUUUGUGAUCGCCACCAACACUUGUGACAACUACUGCCGCCUGCAACAUUGAUGUCGCAACUGCCAUCACAAAAACCACCGCCACCAUCUCCCGGCAGCCCUGUCAUCUCAAAACACCGCAACGAGCACCACCUUACCACCAAUAAACCAAUUAGAAAAUCCCAACACCCCACAAAAUCGCCAACAGACCAAAUGGAGGCUCCACCACCAUCAAAACCAGCGCGGCGCCUCCACCACCACCACAACAUCACACCUCUCUAUACACAUAGAUCAAGAUCUAACCAUGAUCGGAGUUGUAGCAGCUACAAAUUAGCGCUAUGCGACGUGUACAGAUCUAGGCAACUCCAUCCGAUCGCUCCGAUGCUGAGCCUCAAUGCCCGAGGUGUCAUAGCAGAACAACCCCAAACUUUCACAUCCACCACAAAUCCACAAUUCCACCCCACUCAACCACAAAUUCACCACGUCCCCAUGAGCAACGACAGCACUAUGCGAUGACGAAUCUGGUCAUCAUAGUCGCUCGCUGGAGAAACGAUGGGAAGGGAAUGAGAGGGGGAGAGAGGACGCAGAGAGGGAAUAUAUUUUAGGGUAGGGUGAUUUUAGGAAGUGGAAAUGGAUUUUAAUUUUAUAACUUUAUUAUUAAUAUUUAAAAAAUGUCAUGAUUAUUUGAUUAUUUGAUUUUUGAAUUUAAAAACUUUAAAUCUUAACUUUGAAUUAAUAAUUUGAAACCUCUACUUCUUGUAAACCAACAUCUGAAUUUGGGCAAUGGCUAAUGGGCCUUAUGUUAUUAAAAAAUGGGGGCCCAAAACAAUUUCAGCCCACUACUUUGAAAUUAAAAAGGCCCAAACUAAUUUCAAUUCUUUUUCUUCAUUUUGUCCCUGCGCCAUUUCAUAGACAGUCGUCAAAUCUAUGGCAAUUUCGGCGGAGCCAGGAUGACCAGCUGCGCAAGCUCACUGGGUGCUGGCUCCACCACGCAUAGUGGUCCAAUUGUAAUAUGAUAUGUUUGGAAGAGUUUUACUUAUUUAUUCUUUUGUUUUAAGCAAAAGCCCAAUUUAAUUAGUAUAGACUUUUGACAUUUAAAAUAGGAAAAAUUACCUAGAAACCUAGGUUUAAAUAUCCCUUUUCAGUACCAAGGGGGGUUAACUUUAAAUUUCAAAACUCAAGUGCUAAUUAAAUUUUAAUAAUUAUAAUCAAUAAAAAAAUUAGUUAAACCUAUUUUACAUACCAUCCACCCUCACAACUUCCAUUUCAUCACCAAUUUAAACCCUAACUAUGUCUAUCAUCUUCUCUCCUCUUACUUCUCUCUACCAACUAACCUACUCAUCCCUCAACCAUAAUCCCUAGCAGCAUUGGAAGCUUCACUGUGCCAACAACAUCAUCGUUGUCGAAAACGGUGACUCAUAGAGCUGAAACAGGCUGCGAUUUCGACGAUACUUCCAGUAGCAGAGGCAGUGGCGGUGAUGCAUGACGUAGCAGCAGCACCGUCGAAAGCUACACCAGCAGUGUGGCAUACAUCCGGCAAUGCCACUAUAUUUUUCGGUGCCUCUGCAAAUGCUAUUUCAGUGUCGACGCCUCUACUCCAGCGUCGGUACACACAAAUCGCGAUGAUGCGCUUUUUUGUCGACGCCUCAUCUUCGUGGAUAUGGUGGUAUUGAUGACGUGGAUGGUGGUGGAUUUGGUGGCCACGACAGGGGUAGAGGUGGCGACGACGACUUUUUUGUACAUUGUCGAUGUGCAAUAGUGAGGAGGUAGUUGUGGUGAUUUGUAGAUACAAGCCGUGGUAAUGGUGCAAUGGAGGUGGUUUUGAGGCGAUGGUUUUGUUGGAUAUGGUGGUGAUUGAUUUCUGUUGGUGGUAGUGACGGUGGAUAUGUCGGUUGGGGGCGGUUUUGUUGAAUAUGGUGGUGGUGGUCUUUGUCACCGUGCUUGGAUAGGUUGUAUUGGUGGUGGUGUGGUGCGCUGUGGUGCCAAUGGUUUCUUUUGAUGGUAGCACAUGUGGUUCUGGUGAGGUUGUGUUUGCCAAUGUUGGAAAUGGUGGUGAGUAACCAAAUCUAUCUUUGUUGUGACCGUCUGUGACCAUAUUUGUGUUAACUGUGACUAUAUGUGACUUGAUUAUAUAUAGUUACAAAUCAGAGUAUUCUGGUCACAGACAGUUACAAUGAGGAUAAAUUUGAUCAUGAACACAUAAGGUCACAGUUCAUACGUUACGGGUUACAAUUCACCAUUAAGGUCACAAGUACAUUGGUAACAAGUUUCAACUCACAUGUCAUAGUCUUUUAUAGAAGUCACAAAUUAGUAUAAACGGAUCACAAAUCAAUAUUAACAGGUUACAUUUCGUUUUGUAGAAGUCACAGAUCCAAUUUAUAGGUCACAAAAUUUAUGUUACGAGUCACAGGUAACAAAUCACAGUUAAAAAUUAUAUUUUAUAUAUCACAAUGUACGUAGGUCACAAGUUAUUGUUCAAAAAAAGGAAAAAAAAAAGAAUUUAUGAAUUUAAUAUAUUUAAUUACAAAAAUAUUUUUGAUUAAUUAUUUCAUAAUUAAAAUAUUAAUAGCAUCUGAUUUUUUAUUUUUUAAUUUUGAAAUUAAUUACAUGCAUAUUCAUCUCACUUAAUUAGGUCACGAAUCUAAUAAAAUUAGUUAUAAAUCAUUGUCAAAAUAAAAAUAAAAGAGAGAGGCACAUCGUCAGUUGCCAGAAUGGUCGUCAGAGUCGUCGUCGGAGAGAUUGCUGGAGGCAGUCGAUAUUGUUGUCGGAAGUGGGUUCACCGGAGAAGUGGCCGGAGGUAUCGCCGGAGAAGUCGCUGACGGUGGUGGGGUUGCCGGAGGUGGGAUGGGGUGGAGAGAGAAAAAGAACGGUUUGAAUUUAAAUUUUAAAAUUUGGUGGGGUGGGGCAGGGUAGGUAGAUUGAUUAUAUUAUAUUACUAUUAAAUAUUGAAUAAUUACAUUUAUUACCUGAUUUGUGCAAAAUUUUGAGAAGUUUGUUAGUUUUGAAAUAUGAAUUUAUAUGCAGGACUUAUGUGGUAUUCCCUUUAAAAUAAUACCUUUUAUUGAGCUUAUUGUGAGCAAUGCUAAAAUAUUUUCUAAGAGUGCACCACAUUCACGAUUCAUCAACAUGUCAUCGCAACGUAAAUUAUUGGCCCAAAUACACCGAAGGUCACUCAACUUUGAGCAAGGUAUAUUUAGGUCAUUCAUUUUUCAAUUAGUGCAAUCAAAUUAUCUAAUUUCGAUUUGCUAAUUUUUAAUUUGGUGCAAUUAACUCUCCGUAUUUUCUGAUUUGCUUGCAGAUUUGGUCACUUUGUCAAUUAUUGUCCCUUUAACCAACGAAAUAGCUAGCAUCAAUGUUAAAAUAAUGAGUGCUGAGACGGAAAAACGCGCCUUAAGUUUAUAUAUAUAUAUAUAACACAAUAAUGUUAGGCAUUUUUCUAUAGGCUCAAACAUUUCAAUUUGAACAAAGAAAACUGUUUGGGCAUAUUGAUUGUUCAAUUUUUAAGCGUUGAAACACAUUAUAAAAUAAUAAAUUUAUAUUUACUUCGAAUUAGUAAUAAAAAAAUUAAAAAAGUCUAUCUUUAUGGUAGUUUACAAUUUGGGAGUGUACUUCAUAUAUUCAUUUUAUUGCAUCCAAUUCGACUUUGAAUGACCCUUCACCUUUUUCGAGUCCAUGUCUCGAUUUUCAUUAUAUUAAUUAAAAUCAAAACUUAUUCUGCUGAAAAAUAAAGAGAACACUGUAGAUUAAUGUUUGUAUCUAAUUCAGCAUUUUGUUCGUAUAUUGCUAUCUAAUGCUGCAUACCAAGUAUGCAAUUGGAGAAUUUCAAACUUCUCCAACAAGAAAAAACAUAAAACUAGGUAUAUCAUAUAAGCAUGAAAACAAAACACAUCUAAGGAAAAAAGGGAAGGAAAACUAUAGGUGCACACUAAUUUCGAAUAAAUAUAUUUCCACAGGGUUCAUAAUUGCCAAAAAUAAAUUCGCUUAAUCCAACAUCCACAUCCAUUUAAGCUCUUAUUCAGCAAAGGGAGAAAAAGGUACUUCUAACAAUUCUACAAUCAUCACGAAGCUACCAUGGCAAGAACAUUCAUGGUCAUAAAUAGGGCGCGUAUGAAAGAUUUAACUAAGCCUGCCAAGAAUCAAAUUUCUCCAUAACAUUAAACAUUGCAGUCGAACUACUUAAGCCAACUCCUCAGUCAGCUCUAGACUGGCCAGCUCGUGAAGACAAAAUAAUUCCAACGAUUAAACCAUAAAGGGCUAAAGCUUCAGCGAAGAUGAGAAUAAGGAUCAUCCCAACAAAAAGCUUUGGCUGCUGUGCAUUAGCCCUGCAAAAGUACGGGUUCUGAGUAUGAAGCAUAGGCAAAUAUCAAAUAAAACUGAAAACAUUUCAAUGUGUGCCUCGAGUUCAUGUAAAACAAUAACAGAAGUAAACGAGUUGGGAUUAGCAAUGACAAUCAACUAUAUUAUUAAGCCCCCAAUUAUUUCCAUACCUUUCCCUUUUUUGGGUUUGUCUAUUUGGGAAAAAAAAUUGGAGCGCUACCGAGAAAUAAUGUAACAGACGCUCGUCAUAGUGGGUAAAUCACAAGAGUUAACAUUUUCCUGGCCAUAAGCACAUGGAAAAUGAAGCUACGCAGUUUUCUGAAUAAAUUUCAGAGCACUAGAUGGCAUCCAUAUGAUUUAUAUUCUAAUACACAACUCCAGAACAUCUUUGUGACAUGCCAAGAAUUUGAUUCACCAAAAAUUUUCAGAAGGCACAACCAGGAGAAAAAUGCUCAUCAUUAUUGACACUCUACCAAACCCUUGAAUACUUUAUAACUUCAAGAAAUGAUAAUUUAUUAACCACUAAUCGAUAAUGUGCAAAAAGAAUUGGUUUCCUCCUAACUUAGACAAGCAGCUACUUGAAUCAAAUGAAGUUCCAAAGAGAAUUCCUGAAGCUGUUUUCAAUAUAUUAAGAAUAAAGCUCAAUAGUUUGUUAUUGUUAAUUAUUAUUUGGAAAGAGAUGAAAGAAAAUACAUAUCUUAAAUUUGUAUUUUUGAACAUGAGUUCGAACUCAUUUUCACCUAUCACCUAUGAUUUUUAUUCUUCAUUUUAAAAAGCAAAAACUGCAUAACAAUCAAAGUUAUAUUCUUAUUCAUCUAAAAAUGAAGAAAUACGACUUAAAACUUGGAGGUAUGGAAAAACUUCUAAUAGUUUUUGAUUCAAUGAAUACUAAGGUCAACUGUGGCUAAUAGCAGCCAGGCAAAUUUCUGAAAUGAAAUAAUAGUAAAGUAACAACUACUUUUACCACUUAAGCCAGUAAUUGGACUAAUACUAGCUUACUAAAGCCAUAUAACAAAUAAUUGAUUGAUCAUGCCAUUAGACCAAGAGCAGAGCACAAUUAUGUUACAGCAAAACAUCAUAUUACAAGAAUAAAUACCGCUCAAAUAUCAGCCCCCCGUUUGGCCCCCAUUAAUUUUGAUUAUAAUGGGGGAAUAAACUUUUUUCUUUUUUUUAAUGUGUAAUAUUAUUUUAUUGAAGAUUGUGUGGUUGAAAAUAAGAGAGAGAAUUUUAAUUUAAUUUUAUGAGAUGUAAUGGGAGCCAAACAGGGGCUCAAUUAGUGCAAAAAACCAAAAAAAUUCUCACAAAUAGCAAGACCAUGUUAAUCAGUAGAUGUCUCGUGGCAGAGUUAAAGGGCAAACAAGGAAUGAAAUUUUAAUAAAUUCCAGUAAACAAUGAAUAGCAAAGAAUCCCCCCCCCCCCCCCCCCCCCCCCCCCCCCACCACCAUUAANNNNNNNNNNNNNNNNNNNNNNNNNNNNNNNNNNNNNNNNNNNNNNNNNNNNNNNNNNNNNNNNNNNNNNNNNNNNNNNNNNNNNNNNNNNNNNNNNNNNNNNNNNNNNNNNNNNNNNNNNNNNNNNNNNNNNNNNNNNNNNNNNNNNNNNNNNNNNNNNNNNNNNNNNNNNNNNNNNNNNNNNNAAAAACAAAAACGCCCCCCCCCCCCCUCUCUUCUCCUCAAGCAGUAACUUUAAACCCUCGUGAAAUCCAACAAGGCAGACAAAAAGUCCAACUAUCAUUGACCACCAAUCCUGUUUCCUUUUAUACCUUCUUCCCUCUCCUAGCUGUUUUUUUACUCUCUAUUAGUCUAUUUUUCACUCUAUAGGGUGUAAAGUAAUCAAUGUUUUGCUUUACAUCGGCACCAUUAUUAUUUAGUUCUGCCUUUGCUUUCACAAAUAACUAUCAUCAAGUAAUUCGAAGAUCAUCAUCUCACAUAGAAGAUUGUAGCGAUGUUUACAAAGGAGUAAUCAGGUUACUAGUAGAAUUCAGAUUCAUUCCUGACUUGCAUUGCACGUAUAAAUAAAUAAUAUUGCAUCCAAUAAGCGAAUCAACUAAGUUUAACAACUCACUCACAGUAACACAGCAACCACAAGAUUGACCUUCACUAAGAAGGUAAUCUCCAGCGUUGCACCAAAAUAUCCACCAUUUUGCACCAAACUAAAAUUCAUUUCCAACCAUUACACCAAAACUUACAUCAAACGAACAGUGUUUAACCAUUUUCUUCCUUUUUUUUAUUAUUUAUAAUUUAUUUAUUUGAAAAAUUAUUUAUUUAAUUAUUUUAUAAAUACAUAAAUCACUCAAUAAAUAAUUACGAUAAAUUAAGGAAAAGAAUAAAUUCAUUAAUAAAUAUAAAAAAUAUAGUACAAUUAGUAAAAAAGCUACAAAAAUGAAAAUAUUAAAUCAUGCCACUAAAAAAUAGUACAAUGCAUUUCGAAUUUAGAUAUUAUGAUAUUACGAAAUCAAAAUAUUAUUUUGAUGAUAUUGGAGAAUCUAGCAGCGGUCUUCCCGAUUACUAAACUAUGCACUUUUUUAUGUAUCGUUUUCUUCCAAUAAAAUCAAAUUAACUUGUGUAUGUCGUAGUUUAAUAUAUUUCAGGUUAAAAUUAAAUAAUCGUGUUUAUUAUAAUUAAAAUUUUUUCUUCUUUUAAUUAAUUUAUUGUAUUAAAAAAUAUAUAGCACAAGCGACACAAAUACCCUUAAUCAAUUUAUUUGGGAAAGGAAAAUGAAGGGUAAAAAUGACUUUAGACACUUUGCACCAUUUUGGUGUAAAAUGGUGCAAAGUUUAGUGUUGCAUUGGUCGUGUUUUGCACCAUUUUUUGGUGCAGAUGGCCUAUUUAGCUAGCCACCCACUGUAUUAUAUUAUCCAUAUGAUACAAAUGCCAACAAAUUUGUCCCGUCACAUUUCUCUAGAAUUAGACCUCGUGAUCUACCCAUAUAAGCUAGCCGAAUUAACUUAAAUCCCUAAAUGAGGUUCAAAAGUGUCACAUGGGAAACUAAAUUGACCAAAGGUUUAGCAUCACAAUUUCCACUAAUUCUGAGCAUCCAGAUCACAGGGAAAAAAAAAUAAAACUUAAAUUUAUUCAACUACAGAUCACGAGAUCAAUCGAUAGUUCAAUUAUACCUGACGCCAGCAUCGCCAACAAUCCCAAUUGCCAUUCCAGCUGAGAGACCAGCAAGGCCACAAGCGAGGCCUGAAGAGAGAUGCGCAUAGCCAUCGAACAGAUAAUAACCCUUUGCCUUGGGGUUAAUCCCAGUGCUGAUAAUCACAGCAAUAAUCAACCCAUAAAUACCCAACACUCCAGCCAUAACCACUGGCACGAUCGACUUCAUCACCAGCUCCGGCCUCAUAACUCCCAUCGACGCUACACCUACCCCACUCUUCGCCGUUCCAUACGCAGCACCCAUACCUGUAAAAAUGAUCGAAAACAAACAAAUUAUCAAGAAAAUAUCGACAAUCAAACCAAUACGUGGAUUUGAAGGAUCUGAGGAUUACAGGAGAAAACGAGGGCAGAAGCGGCGCCGAGGAAGCCGAAAAAGGGAGCAGUUUCAUCGCCGUUAAAGAUUGAAGACAUUUUUGUUUGGAUUGCAAAAAUUUACUAACGGAUCUGAAAAAUUACGUUGAAUUAACAGUUACAGUUACAGAGACGGAUGGUUUGGGGGUAUGGAUGAAUGGAUCUUAGUCCUCUUUGCUGCCUGUUUAGAUGUAUGAUGUAUGGACCGUAUGGUCUAGAAGAAGAGAAGAAGAGGAGCCAAUAAUUGAUGAAGUGUCAAUCCGCGUCGAACACGUGGUAUUUGGGAUUUGAUUUUGGGUCCCGAACUGGAUUGGGCUUGGCGUGAAUAUAUUUUGAGUUAAUUCCAAAUUUACUAUUAAUUACUUUUUCAUUCCACAAAUACUUCCUUUUUAGCCUCACUUGGCUGUUGGCACCCUUUAAAUCAAAACUUACUUUUUUUUUUCUUUUUCCAAACUCAUUUUUAAUCAUAUAUUUAUACAGUAAAAUACUUUGUACAUAGACCCAUAAUUUUUUCGACUUUUUGCUACAUAUUCUAAAAAAAAUCAUUAUGUCAAAAUUUAUUUUUUCGCACAAAACACUCAUUUUAAUGAAUAUCAAACAGGGGUUACACCCAAAAAUCUACAACUAAUACAUGACCACCGGACUAUCACAUACGACUGCUACACCACUAUGCACCUCCAAUCCUAUCACACCCUAUAUACCAACAUCAUUGCUAUUCUCUUCCAAACCUAAAAUUGGAUCGGUUUCUCAACUCCAACCAAUCACUAUUACAGCACAGCAACUAUCGCAACCCAUCUUUCACGACCACUUCAAAUGAGGCCACCGCUAUUGGAAUUGUCCCUCACAAUUUUUACAAAGUUCACAAUGAACCACCAGAAUCGACACAUGUAUUUCCAUCGCAUACAUGGCUCAUUAAACAAGUUCUUUUUUUUUUUUGUUUGACAUUAAAUUAAGACUAUAAACGGUGUUAAAUGGACCGAGUCAAGAAGCUGUUGCUCUCAAAUGGGAAGAGCGAAGCAUGAGUAACAUACUUCGCAAAUGGGGUGGUUGAUUUUGGGAGGGUGAGAUGGAUUAUUUUAGGGUUUUUUAAGUAGAAACUAAUUUUUGCAGUUAUGUUGUAAAUUCCUAAUCUAUCAUAAUUGUUGACCCCGGAAAUCGGUCCUUCCACAUGGCCAAAGGAAAGCUACUCCACAUAUUCCUCCCUACGUACAAUCAGCGAAUAGUCAGGCGCACAAGGCCGAAACCAGCGGGGGUGGCGGCGGCCGUAUACACUCCGACGGUCAAGUCAGGUUUGAGUGAUCGGAACAGUACCCAGGGGCUAUGCAAAUCAACAAUAAAAGGGGGAGGAGAAAAUAUAUAAACUUGCUAUGGACCUCGGUUACAACUAGUCGUCAAUAAUAAUUAGUAGCUGCAGCAGCCUUUUAGGAGAAUGGGCAUGGCACCUAACUGUUAUCUUGAAAACACGCAACAAUUGUCAAAUCAUUUGACGUUUGAGUCGCCUCGUAUUGAGCUCAUCCUCCAACUUUACAGAGCUUGGACGCACCUGACGCGAAGGCCCUUUUGGGUCAUCGCCUCGGACGCUGCGUUUCCUCCCAUGCUUUACAAAGUUUCAGCUAUCUCCCAACGCGUUGACCUUUUGGGUCAGCGCACCGGUGGCAGAUGAGCUCCUCCUCCAACUUUACAAAGUUUGAACGCACCUGACGCGAAGGCCCUUUUGGGUCAUCGCCUCGGACGCCUCAUUACCUUCCAUACUUUACAAAGUUUCAGCCAUCUCCCAACACGUCGACCGUUUGGGUCAACGCACCGGUGGCAGAUGAACUCCUCCUCCAACUUUACAAAGCUUGUUUAGAAUUUACAUUUUUCAUACAUUUUAAUCUAUUUAUAAUGAUGUAGCUAUAAAUUCAUUUAUUCUUUUUGAUAGAGAGAUUUUGUUUCCAUUUUAUAAAAAAUAAUAUGUAAAAUGUAAAUUCACAAAAACACACAUCUAAAAAACAAAAAAGUUCUAUGUUAGCAUUCCGGCUGUCACUCUAUCUCCCAUAGUCUCCCUACUCUCCCGAAGGACAGUUGGAUAGGGAGACGGAAAAAUGAAUUAAGUAACAAAAAUUUAACGACAAGAAAUAAAAAUUAAGAAUAUUUUUCACAAAUUUAAUAGAUGGGGGACUUCUUCUACAAUUUUUCUUAAUUUUAAGUUUUAAUAGCAAAGAAAUAUUCUUAAACACACUAUUAAUCUCAAAAAAUGUUGCCAACAGAUACUGGAUUGACCAGCGCACACGUAAGCCUAGUCCAACACGCUAAAACACGUGGACGGUCUCAAAUGGACUGAUCAAGGGCGUGGAAGCAGUUCAACAUCGUGGGACGAGAACAUUAGGAAUCCAGUGAUAAGUUUGCAUAAUGAUUGUACAAUAAUUAUCAAUCGAUUUUUGUAGAAUGCGAGUAUGAAUUCAUAUAGUAUUGUAUUGCAAGAUGGUGAAAAGAUUGUUGAAUAAAGUGUAUUAAGAGAGUAAAUAAAGUAUAAUCUUGGUUCUUGUAUUGAAUCUUGCAUUCUCCCUGUAAGAGAUGCAUGGGAGAGUAUUUAUAGUAUUACAAGUUAGAUCGUGAUCCUCAGUUGGGAGUACACGUGGCCUUAUCUCGUAAGUUUACAUGUUAAAUUAUAGACAUUACACUCGACUUCCUAGCUUGCUACACAUUUAUUAAUUGGCGGCUCUACUACUAUUUUGAUAACACAAGACGCUUGCACUCUAUGAUGGGCGUCCCAUCAAUCAAUCAGGAAUGAUCCUUAUAUAAGACCAAACUUUGAGGAGGAGUGCUGCUUAGGGCAUCUAGGCUUCGGUAUGAUGGGUCUCGACGUGAAGAGCUUCAGCAAGACAAACCACCUCGGCUUAUUCACUUCGGCGCUGACAUUUGGACCACGUCAUGGGUGUUGUCUCGGUAUGUUAGUUGAUUUCUAUUGGCCAGGGAGCCUCGACUAGGAUGCCACGUAGUUCGGCAUGAGUGGGCCAUGGGGCAUCAGUGGGUCGGCCAAGUGUGUCAACACAUAACACACACUAUUGAGGGACUAUUAUUAUAUUAAUUUGCAUGGUUCAGUGAUUGGAUGAAAGAGUACUACACACAGGGGUAGACCCAACCUUUUUGGAUUGUGGGGUCAAAAAUUAAUUUGUAAUUUUUUAAAAUAAUAUAAUAUUAAUGAAAAUAAGCUAAUACGAAUUUUGAAAAUAUCUUAUAAUUAUAUCAUUAUCAAUAUUGUUAAAUGAAUUUUGCUACAUGUAUAGUUUUAUUUACUAUGUUAUUUGUGGAUAUCGAGCUAAUGACGAGUAAAUUAAAUUGGAUGUAGGAAGUAAAUGAAAUUUAAGUUUAAAGAAAAAAUAAUUUGAAAAUAAUUCAAAUUACAUUUAAUUCGUAACGAUUUUAGAAUUUAUGAUGUCAUUUUUCAUGUAAAAUCUCUUAAUAAAAUGAUGUAAAUUAUAUUGAAAAAUUUAUUAUACAAAAAUAAUAAACGAUAAUUAAAUAAUUGAAUUUAAAAAAAAAAAGACGAGUUAAAUGCCUCUUUUAGUAUGUAUGUUUGACGCAUAUUUAAUUAUUUUCAAUAUCUGUUUGGACCUUUCGAUAUGACUAUGAUGUAGUUCUCAAAACGAACUUAUAGAUGACGUAGGCGAUUUGUAGAUUUGGACAGUACAUGAUCAUUGACAAAUUUUAAAAAUUAGCAUAUUAUCGAAAUUUUUGUAAUACUAAUUUAGAACGGCCUACUUUGAUACAUCAUAACUUUUGCUAUGGUUGAUCAUUUCUAACGCGAUUAAAACUUUAAAAUGAUCUUAAGAAUGCAAUAUUUUUUAUUUUUUUAUUUAUUUUUUAAGAAUGCAAUAUUUUGAUUUCAUUUGACAUGUAUUAAAGUAGAUCGUAAAUGGGUUAAACAACUAUUUUCUGAAAAAAAUAAUAAUAAAAAACUUGUGGGAUCAAAUGACCCCACAUGAUCCCAUGUGGAUCCAUCCCUGACUCCGCACGUCCAAGCGGGUAUGCCCGAGCUUCUAUCAACAAUUAUUCUACUUGUAAUUCAUGUUAUAGCUUGAAGUUGGAAUUUGUAAUUUAAAGAUUAAUUGUAUAUUGAUUGCAAUAUAUUUCUCAUAAUGCCACCAUUUAAUAUUCGGAAUUACAAACUUUAUAAUUGAUGAAGAUAAUGGGGAAUUUUGCAUGAGAAGAACAACAAAUUAAAAGACGAAAACAAGACCAUAGGGAAUAUAUAUAGGGGGAGUCUUCCCUACAUGCAUUAAAGCAUUAUUCACUCUCACAAUCAAUUCAUUAAUAGAAAAGAAACAAAGUACAUUUAUAGAUUUAUUUCUGGAUAAUUAAUAAGACAAAACAACUCUGGAGUUAAUGCAAACGAUGAGAGGGAUGAGGAGGUAGAUAUUUUGAUUUGGGUGGGUUGAAAAAUCUCCUAGGAACAGUAGGGGUGGGGGGAAAUUUAGGAACAGGAGGAGCUCUUGGGAUGAUAAUUGAAUUUCGUCUUCUCGGUGGAGAAUUUGGGACGGAAGGAAGUGGCGUCUGUGAAGGCGGCAAUGCUUUUUCAAUAGGAGAAGGAGGUGGCUCUGGCUUUGGAGAAACAGGAGCUGUACUAGGAGGAUUUGGUAGGUAAGUUGGUUUGGGAUGUGGUGGAGCAUUUUUAAAUUUGGGAACUGGUGGUGCUGUAAAAGGCUGUUGAAGUUUUGGUGCUGGAGGUGAAAGGGGUGUUUUUAUGAUUGGACUUGGAGGAGUAUUUGGCUUCUUAGAGGAGGGAACAGGUGGUGCCGGAGGAGGUGCCUGAGGGCAGGCAGGAGGAGAAAGUGGUGGUGCAGGGACGGGAGGGCUUAUGGGGCUUUCAGAUGUCAGAGAUGGAGGAGGUGCAAGAGUAGGAUAUGGAGGAGGAGAAAGUGGCGGUGCAGGGACGGGAGGGCUUAUGGGGCUUUCAGAUGUCAGAGAUGGAGGAGGUGCAAGAGUAGGAUAUGGAGGAGGAGAAAGUGGCGGUGCAGGGACGGGAGGGCUUAUGGGGCUUUCAGAUGUCAGAGAUGGAGGAGGUGCAAGAGUAGGAUAUGGAGGAGGAGAAAGUGGCGGUGCAGGGACGGGAGGGCUUAUGGGGCUUUCAGAUGUCAGAGAUGGAGGAGGUGCAAGAGUAGGAUAUGGAGGAGGAGAAAGUGGCGGUGCAGGGACGGGAGGGCUUAUGGGGCUUUCAGAUGUCAGAGAUGGAGGAGGUGCAAGAGUAGGAUACGGAGGAGGUGCCUGAGGGUAGGGAGGAGGAGAAAGUGGUGGUGCAGGAACGGGAGGGCUUAUGGGGCUUUCAAAUGUCAGAGGUGGAGGAGGCGCAAGAGUAGGAUAAGGUCCUUUCACUGGGGCCGGAGGAAAUGUUGGUGGGAGCCAUUGAACGGGCGGUGAAGAUGGAUCUUUGCAAACUGGAGUUGGUGGUGGAACUGAAUACUGAUGCACCGGGGGAGGGGCUGAUUGAGUGGGUGGUAUAGAUGGAUCAAUUGGUCCUGGAGCUGGAGCUGGAGUCAGAUAUUGAAUUGGCGAAGUUGGUGAUUGAGCAGUCGGAAAAGAAGGAGCCAGUGACUGAGUGGGUGGUAAAGAGGGAUCUAUGGACACUGGCGCUGGCACAGGUGGAGGAAGAGCCGGUGGAGUGUACUCGACUGGUGGUCCUGGAGGUGGUGACAAUUUUGGUACAUAUGUUAUAUUAGGUUGCCCAAAGAAAUUGUGUCUGAUGACAGGCCAAAAGAAGGAUGAUUGGCAUGUUCCAGGAGAGAAUUUUAGCUUCUGUGUAACAUCUGCUGUUUGUGUUCCAUUAUCUUCAGAUCUGAUGAUUUUCAUCGAGGCAGUCUGGGCCGUUUGUAUAGGACACGGUGCACCUGAUGCAUCGUGAAGCUUGGCCAAGCAUCCUUGUCCUGUCGUUUCAUCAUCUGUAAUCUGAUUAGAGAGACUUAUGUUAAAUUUUCCUUCUCGAUCCACACCUCCAUUUCCCAUUGUCUGCAUUUCUCCAUUUGUGGACUUGCAACUGAUAGCAACCUUAAGCCCUGCGGAAAAAAUGCUGUUAGUUGUCAACAGGUACCUUAAGUUGAGAAUAAGAAACCUUAAUUCUAUCACAACAGCAAUAUAUUUGCAAAAUGAAAAUAAACACAAGAAUACACAAGAUUUAUAGAGACGCAUCUUAAUGUGAUGUUUUCUUUCGUCGCUGUAGUAAUUCAUUAUAAUGAAAGAAAGUUUACAAAAGAAAAUUGCACACUCUAAUCUCUCUCUCUCUCUCUCUCUCUCUCUCUCUCUCUCUCUCUCUCUCUCUCUCCCCCCCCUUUUGAUUGACCAUAUUUUUCUGAAAGUAAAGGAAAAUAUUUUUUUUAGAAAGAGCAUAAUUUUAUUUUUUGUGGAAUUCACUCUCUCUUCUCUCUCUCUCUCUCUCUCUCUCUCUCUCUCUCUCUCUCUCUCUCUCUCUCUCCCUCCUAAUAGUGAUACAAAAUCCUAAUGACGACUCCACAUGUAUAAAACAAAUUACAACAAAUUCGAAAUUACUGUGUGAAAUUUUUAAAUUGUCCUUAAUGUAAUUUUGAUCAAUCUGUGUACUGGUUCGGUAUAACGACAAUAAUUAGGCUCUACAACUUAACACCUUCUUUAGAUUUGAUCUGACCAUGAAAAAGAAACAUGGGCGAGGGUGGAAACGAAGACGUACCUAAAGAUGCUUGGUUCCUGUCGAAUUCUUGAAUGAUGCAGUCAGUGCAAUCUAUGAAUCCAACUAUCUUGACUGUCAUAUUCUUGCCAUUGCAGAAGCUUAAUAUAAACAAUAAGGAGAGCAAAAGCCCAGAAAGUCGGAACAAAACCCCCUUCAUACUGAGUGAGAAUACUCUUCAAAAUGUGAAUGCUUUGUUAUCUAGGCUGAUGAACAUUAUAUAAUGCAUUGCAAAUUUAUCCAUUUAUUGUUACGGUCCCAGUUCAAUUUAUGUCUGUUAAAGGGGGAAUUAACACUGCCACCAAUUUUUACGGCUCUUUCUGGACAAGCUUAUACCAUUUAGAUGUUAUUUACUAUCUGUUUAUACGAAGGUGCAAGUGGCAUAGCAGCCACCAUAACUUUUCUUCACUAGAAAUAAAUUGCACAUUCUAUUAGGUGGAUCACACAAAAAGAAAUAUAGAAUCAAUUAGUGUCAUCUUAAGUUGAUUAAGCUCAAAGAAGCAACAAGAAUUUCGCUUGGAAUGUCUAUUUUCUGUAAGUUAACGUAUUUGAUGUCUCUCGUAAACCCUUUCUAAACCUGGUUCUCUGACUUUUUAGCCAGUAUGUACCUAAAAUCACAUUUGGUCAACAUACAUAGCUAAAACCAUGAUUUGAAGGUUAAUAAACUCUUCUAUGACAUUUUAAUCCAUGCCAGCAAAACUUGAAAUUCAAGAUCUUUAGGUCACAACAUCUAGAAAUGUAAGUUGUUUACACUAAAUAUAUAUAUAUAUUUAAUCACUUUAACUCUUUAAGUUGGGAAGAGCUUUUCAUCACAUAUAGGAUGUGUAAUUGAAAAUAAUUUUAAGAAAAUCCUCCCAAACCUACCUAAGGUUAACCUGCUUAAGCAACUUGGACUUUUUAGGCUGUCAACCAAGUUAGGCCGAAGGCCGAUCCUCUUGAGGCCCAGUAUGGCCACCUUUUGACACCAAAAUGCCCAAAUGGCUCUGUUUUCGAGAAAAUAGUGGCCAAUGGCCGAUUGACCUCGCCCAAUUUCCAAAAUUGCCUUUGACCAAUAUUAAAUAAGGAUAAAGGAUAAAAACAAAACAAAAGGUUUAACUAUACAUUAUAUCCUUUGAAAAGAAGAAAAACAAAAGAAAGUAGAUUCGGACUCCAAGCAUAUAGACGAAACAAAUGGCCAUGUUCAUCUUCUUCCUCUUCUAAACUUGACAAGAUUAGCUCAUGUUUGAAAUCUUAUUAUUUAAUUGUGAUGAAUGCAGAGAUUUGAUUUUUUUCGUUGAAUGCGUUAAAUUAUGGGUUUAAUACAAAUAUAGAGGUUUUAUUAUGGUAAAAAUGGAAGAAAAAUCGUAUUUUAGUUUGAAAUAUGCGAGAAAUGAGUGUUUUUGAUGUGGAGCUCACUAGAAAUGUAGUUUUCAGGGAAGCACCACCGUUUGGGGAGUUCCAGGGGGGUACUUUUAAGUAUAGCUUUGUCAAACCAACCAUUUUCCAUUUUAACCAUAAAAAUCUAACAUUCACCACAAUAGCCAUUUCUUGUGUAAAAGACUAAAACGCCCUUAAAUGAGUUAUAUAAUUACAAAAAUAGAAAUAUGGUAAAAAGACAAAAAUAUCCUUAAGUUACAAAUAAAAAUCCAAACAAGGCUCAAUUGAAAUUUGAAAACGAAGUCAGUCUUUUCAUCAGUUUACUCUAACACGAUAAAAACUCUUCCAUUUUUCAUCCACUUCAACCUCAAAAUUUCAUAAACUUAUCAGUUAUCAACCUCAACAGAAAAAUUUAGUUAAAUUUCAGCACUUCAAUUCGGUAAGUAUCUUUUCGUAGUAUUUAAUUUUAUUUUUAUUGAAGUCGUAUAUUUUUUUUAAAUGGUAGAAAAAAUAAUAUUAGAGUCAAAGUUCAGGCCGGCAUCGAUCAGACGUCGGAACGACGGAUUUAACGACGGUCCGGACCAUCCGGACAGUCCGUUGCGGACGGUCCGGACCGCCCGUUGCCGACGGUCCGGAUUCCGUUUGCGUCCCGCCCCUCGAUUCUGAUAAUUUUUUCUGAUAAUUUUUUCUGAUAUUUUUAAUUCGUAAUGCAGAUAUGGUAAAAGCGUGUGUACCAAUUUGUUAUUUCGGCGAAUUUCAAAGGAAAGAAAAUGGUCAAUGGGAAUGGGAAUGGAAAUGGACGAGUGAAGGAGAAGGGGUUGCUGCUAUUACGAUAACAAAAAAUACUUCGUUUACAGAAAUGUACAGUGAAAUACAAAACAUGCUUAACGUCGAUUCCUCUCAGUACGAUAUGGAAUUGGGAUUUUAUUUCAAAAGCAUUCAACAAUUUCGAUUCCACCUUUGAAAGUUACUUCUGAAGCGCAAAUAAAGCAUCUAAUUCAAUUGAACCAAGGUCGAAAGACGACUCCUAUUUGCGUAAGUUUGUUGAAGAAAAAUGUCAUCGAGGGUGAACACGAAGUUUUUGAUGGAGAGGAUCGUAAUGAGAAUGAUUUUUGGGAUACUGUUGAGAUUGCUCGGGAGGAUGAUGUGGUUAUUUCUGGGGCAGUUGCUACUCACCAUGAUGUCACCGUUACACGAAGGAUUUACGAGGAAGUUCAAGACAACGAGGAUCAAAGGCCAUUUACAAAUCAGGAUUUGAUUGCUUUAUCCAGACAGAGACAUGAGUCUGGUGGGAGCUCACAUGCUGGGCCGAGUACACGGUCUUCUAAUUGUUCGCGUGUAGUUCCUGAUGAUGAAGAUUUACAUGUCGAUCAAUUGUUUGACACGAAAAGAGAUUUGCAAGAAGCCGCGCACCGAAUUGCAAUGAAACAUAAUUUUGAGUUUAAGGUAAAAAAAUCAAAUAAGUCUACAUACACAAUUAUUUGUGUGGACAACAAUUGCAGUUGGCGUUUGAGUGCGACAAAGAUGGACACAAAUGAGUUCUUUGUUGUUCGUAAGUAUGCGCGGGAACAUACUUGUGAAGUGGGUAUUCGUCAAAAUGAUCACAUGCAAGCUCGAUCAUGGUUUAUUGGUCGACAGAUAAUGCACAAGUUUCAGGAUCCACGGACGGUUUACAGACCUACAGAUAUCAUCAACAACAUCCGUCGAGAGUAUGGGGUGGUUAUGAGUUACCAGAAGGCCUGGAAGGCUAAAGAAUGUGCAUUGGAAGAUUUAAUGGGUUCGACAGAGGAGAGUUAUGCCAAAUUGGCCAGGUAUUGCCACAACAUGGUGAGAACUAAUUCUGACUCGACGUUUUUUAUUGAAACCGAUGGGCAGAAUCGCUUCAAGUAUUUUUUUAUGGCUCUUGGACAAUGCAUUAGAGGUUUUCGAAAUGCUAUGCGACCUCUAAUUCUAGUUGAUGGUACAACCCUAAGAGCUAGAUAUGAAGGAAAGUUGAUUAUUGCUACUUGUCAAGAUNNNNNNNNNNNNNNNNNNNNNNNNNNNNNNNNNNNNNNNNNNNNNNNNNNNNNNNNNNNNNNNNNNNNNNNNNNNNNNNNNNNNNNNNNNNNNNNNNNNNNNNNNNNNNNNNNNNNNNNNNNNNNNNNNNNNNNNNNNNNNNNNNNNNNNNNNNNNNNNNNNNNNNNNNNNNNNNNNNNNNNNNNNNNNNNNNNNNNNNNNNNNNNNNNNNNNNNNNNNNNNNNNNNNNNNNNNNNNNNNNNNNNNNNNNNNNNNNNNNNNNNNNNNNNNNNNNNNNNNNNNNNNNNNNNNNNNNNNNNNNNNNNNNNNNNNNNNNNNNNNNNNNNNNNNNNNAAGUUGCAACAGUGGUUUUAUGACCGACGUGAAGAAUCCCAAAAUUGCACGAGUGUGCUAGCUCCGGCACAGGACGAUCGACUAUUCAAAACUCUGGAAGUGGCAAAAGCUCUAUUUGUGGAACCACUAAAUCAAUUUCGCUUCUCUGUAAGAUGUGGGCGUAAUGUUGGAUACAUUGUAGACUUGAAUGACAAUACCUGCACGUGCAGAAAAUUUCAGUUGGAAAGUUUUCCAUGUGCACAUGCUGUCGCAGUGGCUAUGUAUAGAGGAUUUCCACCACACAGCUUGUGCAGUCAUUAUUAUAUGACUGAUUUUUGGAGAGCAGCGUAUGCCGAAACUAUAUUUCCUCUACCAAAUGAAGCCGAGUGGGAAGUUCCUGAUUAUAUUGUAGCACUUAAUAAUUUGUUGCCACCUGAAGCUCCACCGCGUACUCCUGGUCGUAGACGGACGUCUAGAAUACCAUCUACAUGAGAGUUUCCACAGCUGCGUAAGUGCGGGAGGUGCAGCGCUACAGGACAUACACGUCGAUUUUGUACAAGUCAGAUCCCACUAAACAAUGACUCGACGGAUGUGUAGUAUCUAUAUAAAUCAUAUGUAUUCUCUAUUUGUAACGUGUUUGUGAUUUUCUGAAUUGAAAUCCGAUGUAAUCUUUAUCACAUUGUUUAAUUACUCUUUUUAUUUUUAUCACAUUUGUCAUAUGUAUUUUCUAUGUGUCAUGUAUUUGUUUGUUUUCUUUUAAAAUAAGUGAGACAACGAUAUAUAUUAACUAACAAUAUGGAGAGAUUACUAUUUCUUUAAUUAAUUAUCUUAAUUGGUGAAGUAAAAAAAAUAUUUCGUUAAUCAUGUGUUUUANNNNNNNNNNNNNNNNNNNNNNNNNNNNNNNUUAUUUAUUUCAUAUUUGAAUAAUAUUUAUUCGAUUUUUCUUUUUACUAUUUUUUUAAGUAAUUAUCUUAAUUGUUUAAGAAAAAAAAAUAUUAUUCAAUUUAAUUUAUUCGUUACAUAUUUCGUUAAUCAUGUAUCUUAUUUAUUUCAUAUUUAACUACUCUAUUUCGAUUGUUUAUUUGAAUAAUAUUUAUUCGAUUUUUCCUUAUACUAUUUCUUUAAGUAAUUAUCUUAAUUGUUUAAGUAAAAAAAAAAUAUUAUUCAAUUUAAUUUAUUCGUUACAUAUUUCGUUAAUCAUGUAUCUUAUUUAUUUCAUAUUUAACUACUCUAUUUCGAUUGUUUAUUGGAAUAAUAUUUAUUCGAUUUUUCCUUAUACUAUUUCUUUAAGUAAUUAUCUUAAUUGUUUAAGAAAAAAAAUAUUAUUCAAUUUAAUUUAUUUGUUACAUAUUUCGUUAAUUAUGUAUCUUAUUUAUUUCAUAUUUAAUUACUCUAUUUCGAUUGUUUAUUUGAAUAAUAUUUAUUCGAUUUUUCCUUAUACUAUUUCUUUAAGUAAUUAUCUUAAUUGUUUAAGAAAAAAAAUAUUAUUCAAUUUAAUUUAUUUGUUACAUAUUUCGUUAAUUAUGUAUCUUAUUUAUUUCAUAUUUAAUUACUCUAUUUCGAUUGUUUAUUUGAAUAAUAUUUAUUCGAUUUUUCCUUAUACUAUUUCUUUAAGUAAUUAUCUUAAUUGUUUAAGUAAAAAAAAUAUUAUUUUUUAAUUUAUUCGUUAAAUAUUUCGUUAAUUAUGUAUAUUAUUUAUUUCAUAUUUGAAUAAUAUUUAUUCGAUUUUUCCUUUUACUAUUUCUUUGAAAUUUGAAUAAUAUUUAUUCGAUUUUUCCUUUUAAUAUUUCUUUAAGUAAUUAUCUUAAUUGUUUAAGUUGAAAAAAAUUUUGGUUUUUAAUUUAUUCGUUAAAUAUUUCGUUAAUUAUGUAUAUUAUUUAUUUCAUAUUUGAAUAAUAUUUAUUCGAUUUUUCCUUUUACUAUUUCUUUGAAAUUUGAAUAAUAUUUAUUCGAUUUUUCCUUUUACUAUUUCUUUAAGUAAUUAUCUUAAUUGUUUAAGUUGAAAAAAAUAUUGGUUUUUAAUUUAUUCAUUAAAUAUUUCGUUAAUUAUGUAUAUUAUUUAUUUCAUAUUUGAAUAAACUUUAUUCGAUUUUUCCUUUUACUAUUUCUUUGAAAUUUGAAUAAUAUUUAUUCGAUUUUUCCUUUUACUAUUUCUUUAAGUAAUUAUCUUAAUUGUUUAAGUUGAAAAAAAUAUUGGUUUUUAAUUUAUUCGUUAAAUAUUUCGUUAAUUAUGUAUAUUAUUUAUUUCAUAUUUGAAUAAACUUUAUUCGAUUUUUCCUUUUACUAUUUCUUUGAAAGUUGAAUAAUAUUUAUUCGAUUUUUCCUUUUACUAUUUCUUUAAGUAAUUAUCUUAAUUGUUUAAGUUGAAAAAAAUAUUGGUUUUUAAUUUAUUCGUUAAAUAUUUCGUUAAUUAUGUAUAUUAUUUAUUUCAUAUUUGAAUAAUAUUUAUUCGAUUUUUCCUUUUACUAUUUCUUUAAGUAAUUAUCUUAAUUGUUUAAGUUAAAAAAAAAAUUGGUUUUUAAUUUAUUUGUUAAAUAUUUCGUUAAUUAUGUAUAUUAUUUAUUUCAUAUUUGAAUAAUAUUUAUUCGAUUUUUCCUUUUACUAUUUUCCAAUUGCAUCCGAUUUAGUCCAUUUAAUUCCCGAUUAUCAUUUAAAUUUUCAAAAUAAUAUCAUACAAUAUACUCUAUUUCGAUUAUUUAUUUCUUUCAGUACAACACGAAUCCUACUGAAGUAAACAACAUUUACAUUUUAAUAAAAUAAUUUACAAUGUACUAAGGAUCACAAUUAUAAUCAUACAAGUCGCAAGCUAAUUUAUGCCUCCACAUAUCAAUCGAAGACUGAUUUAUUGUAUCAACAUUGCGACCAAUGCUCAAGAACUCUAUGUACUUGAUUGCAAAUAUGCCACAGUCACCCCUGCAACCGAAUUAGAAGAUAUUAGUUCCAUAACAUAUAAUUGAAAAUUAAAUCUGAAAAUUUAAAAGUUGUAAAUCCUUACGAUCUUUCUUGUCUCGCAGUCGUCGUGUUCCGCACAAUGGCUAAUCUAUCAUUUACUCGAAUCAUCGCAUGACUAGCCAUCAUGGGCACGAUCACAGCCAAUGGCUCCAGUAUUUGCUCCAAUUGACUUUGCGUCAGACAGCUAUGAUCAGAGUCGUACACAUAUAUGGUGGAAUCAGCAAAUACGAUCUCCACCGAAAAACAGUGUGAGUUCGCGAUCACUGGAAUGUACAUAUGUGUACAAUCUGUCCACGGCUUUCCGCACCUCAACUGUAGUCCAAUCACCCACUCNNNNNNNNNNNNNNNNNNNNNNNNNNNNNNNNNNNNNNNNNNNNNNNNNNNNNNNNNNNNNNNNNNNNNNNNNNNNNNNNNNNNNNNNNNNNNNNNNNNNNNNNNNNNNNNNNNNNNNNNNNNNNNNNNNNNNNNNNNNNNNNNNNNNNNNNNNNNNNNNNNNNNNNNNNNNNNNNNNNNNNNNNNNNNNNNNNNNNNNNNNNNNNNNNNNNNNNNNNNNNNNNNNNNNNNNNNNNNNNNNNNNNNNNNNNNNNNNNNNNNNNNNNNNNNNNNNNNNNNNNNNNNNNNNNNNNNNNNNNNNNNNNNNNNNNNNNNNNNNNNNNNNNNNNNNNNNNNNNNNNNNNNNNNNNNNNNNNNNNNNNNNNNNNNNNNNNNNNNNNNNNNNNNNNNNNNNNNNNNNNNNNNNNNNNNNNNNNNNNNNNNNNNNNNNNNNNNNNNNNNNNNNNNNNNNNNNNNNNNNNNNNNNNNNNNNNNNNNNNNNNNNNNNNNNNNNNNNNNNNNNNNNNNNNNNNNNNNNNNNNNNNNNNNNNNNNNNNNNNNNNNNNNNNNNNNNNNNNNNNNNNNNNNNNNNNNNNNNNNNNNNNNNNNNNNNNNNNNNNNNNNNNNNNNNNNNNNNNNNNNNNNNNNNNNNNNNNNNNNNNNNNNNNNNNNNNNNNNNNNNNNNNNNNNNNNNNNNNNNNNNNNNNNNNNNNNNNNNNNNNNNNNNNNNNNNNNNNNNNNNNNNNNNNNNNNNNNNNNNNNNNNNNNNNNNNNNNNNNNNNNNNNNNNNNNNNNNNNNNNNNNNNNNNNNNNNNNNNNNNNNNNNNNNNNNNNNNNNNNNNNNNNNNNNNNNNNNNNNNNNNNNNNNNNNNNNNNNNNNNNNNNNNNNNNNNNNNNNNNNNNNNNNNNNNNNNNNNNNNNNNNNNNNNNNNNNNNNNNNNNNNNNNNNNNNNNNNNNNNNNNNNNNNNNNNNNNNNNNNNNNNNNNNNNNNNNNNNNNNNNNNNNNNNNNNNNNNNNNNNNNNNNNNNNNNNNNNNNNNNNNNNNNNNNNNNNNNNNNNNNNNNNNNNNNNNNNNNNNNNNNNNNNNNNNNNNNNNNNNNNNNNNNNNNNNNNNNNNNNNNNNNNNNNNNNNNNNNNNNNNNNNNNNNNNNNNNNNNNNNNNNNNNNNNNNNNNNNNNNNNNNNNNNNNNNNNNNNNNNNNNNNNNNNNNNNNNNNNNNNNNNNNNNNNNNNNNNNNNNNNNNNNNNNNNNNNNNNNNNNNNNNNNNNNNNNNNNNNNNNNNNNNNNNNNNNNNNNNNNNNNNNNNNNNNNNAUAUUAUUCAAUUUAAUUUAUUCUUUUAAUAUUUCGUUAAUCAUGUGUUUUAUUUAUUUCAUAUUUAAUUACUCUAUUUCGAUUAUUUACUUGAAUAAAAAUAAUAAUAUUUAUUCGAUUUUUCGUUUUACUAUUUCUUUAAGUAAUUAUCUUAAUUGUUUAAGUAAAAAAAAUAUUGUUCAAUUUAAUUUAUACGUUACAUAUUUCGUUAAUUAUGUAUAUUAUUUAUUUCGAUUAUUUAUUUGAAUAAAAAUAAUAAUAUUUAUUCGAUUUUUCGUUUUACUAUUUCUUUAAUUCAUUAUCUUAAUUCUUUAAGUAAAAAAAAUAUUAUUUUUUUAAAUUUAUUCAUUAAAUAUUUCGUUAAUUAUGUAUAUUAUUUAUUUCGAUUAUUUAUUUGAAUAAAAAUAAUAAUAUUUAUUCGAUUUUUCGUUUCACUAUUUCUUUAAUUAAUUAUCUUAAUUGGUUAGGUAAAAAAAUAUUAUUCAAUUUAAUUUAUUCUUUUAAUAUUUCGUUAAUCAUGUGUUUUAUUUAUUUCAUAUUUAAUUACUCUAUUUCGAUUAUUUAUUUCAAUAAUAUUUAUUCGAUUUUUCCUUUUACAAUUUCUUUAAUUCAUUAUCUUAGUUCGUUAAGUAAAAAAAGUAUUGUUUUUUAAUUUAUUCUUUAAAUAUUUCGUUAAUAAUGUGUUUUACUUAUUUCAUAUUUAAUUACUUUAUUUCGAUUAUUUAUUUGAAUAAUAUUUAUUCGAUUUUUCGUUUUACUAUUUCUUUAAUUCAUUAUCUUAAUUCUUUAAGUAAAAAAAAAUAUUAUUUUUUAAUUUAUACUUUAAAUAUUUCGUUAAUUAUGUAUAUUAUUUAUUUCGAUUAUUUAUUUGAAUAAAAAUAACAAUAUUUAUUCGAUUUUUCAUUUCACAAUUUCUUUAUUUCUUUAAUUAAUUAUCUUAAUUGGUUAGGUAAAAAUAAUAUUAUUCAACUUAAUUUAUUCUUUAAAUAUUUCGUUAAUAAUGUGUUUUAUUUAUUUCAUAUUUAAUUACUCUAUUUCGAUUAUUUAUUUGAAUAAAAAUAAUAAUAUUUAUUCGAUUUUUCGUUUCACUAUUUCUUUAAUUAAUUAUCUUAAUUGGUUAGGUAAAAAUAAUAUUAUUCAACUUAAUUUAUUCUUUAAAUAUUUCGUUAAUAAUGUGUUUUAUUUAUUUCAUAUUUAAUUACUCUAUUUCGAUUAUUUAUUUGAAUAAUAUUUAUUCGAUUUUUCGUUUUACUAUUUCUUUAAUUCAUUAUCUUAAUUCUUUAAGUAAAAAAAAUAUUAUUUUUUUAAAUUUAUUCAUUAAAUAUUUCGUUAAUUAUGUAUAUUAUUUAUUUCAUAUUUAAUUAUUCUAUUUCGAUUAUUUAUUUGAAGCGUAUAUUUAAGUAGAAAAGAACAAAAAUUAAAACUCAAUUUAAUUUAUCUUUAAAUAUUUCGUUAAUUUUCUUAAUAUAUUAUUUCUUUUAUCUUUCAUUUUAUUUCUUAACACAAAAAAAAAAAAAAAAUUUAUAUUUUUGACGGACCCGGAUUUGGGCCGGUUACCCGGACCAAAAUCCGGGUCCGUUGUGGUCCGUAACGGACCAAACCGGCGGGCUCGCCGGAAACUCCAUUUCCGGCGAGCUCCGCCCCUUUUUUUACUUUUUUUCAAGAUUUUAACCUCAAAUUCGAUAUUUUCUUACAUUUUAACUAUAGAAACAUGGAUUUAACCCAUAUUCAUAUCCUAAACAUUCAAACUUUCACAAAUUCAAAGUAGUUAUUUAUAGAAAACAUGUCUAACCUUCAAGAAAAUGACGGUCUCCGACGAAUCGAGGUGGCUCUGGUCUUGGUCGAAGUUGGUGAGGUCCAGGCAGUCCGUAGGCGACGUCGACGGUCGGUAGCUGAUUUUUCCCUUUUUUCUUUUCUUUUUUCUCUCUAUUUUCUCUUCUCUUCUUUCCUCUAAAUGAGGGUAUUUUCGACCCUACACAUUUUGUUUACAUUUUCUUUUUUUUUUUUUUUUUAACAAAUAACUUGGUCAAAGGCUACUAUGGAAAACAUACCGGGUGGGGCAGCCAUUGCCCACCAUUUCCUCGGAGUUCCAGACCCAAAUGUUCGGGUCCGAAAUCUGGGCUAUCAAAAUCUGACCCAGUUGGGUUCGAUCAGAUUUGAUUUUUUUCCUUCUCAUUUUCAAUUUAAUUUAUUUUCCUUUUUGUUGUUAUUUUUAUUAUUUUAAAAAAAAAUCUCGAAUCUUAUAUAUAUGUUUUUUCAAUUUCCUUUUUAUAUAUCUUUUCAUCAACUAUUUUUUCAUUUUCAUUUUUCCGUUUUGUAUGUGUAAUUUUUUAUUUCAUUUUUUUUUUAAAAUUUGAAUCUUAUAAAUGUUUUAUUUUGUUUCUUUUAAAUUAAUUUCUUUUCCAUCAAUCAUUUUUCAUUUUCACUUUUUCUCCUUAAUUUAAUUUUUGUUUUUUCUUUUUAAUAAUUGAUGAAGUGAAUUUAUUUCUUGCAUACAAUAGCAUAUAACAUGAUUGGUUACAUUUUAAGAUAUUACGCUUUACUCCAUAAUCUCUUAUAUAUGGUUUUAACGGGCGGAUCUGGCCCAAGUGAGUCAGAUUUGGGUUGGUACUUUUUUCUUUUUUAUUCAUUUUCAAUUUAAUUCAUUUUCCUUUUUGUUAUUAUUUUGUUAUUUCCAUUUUUUAAAAUCUUAAAUCUUAUAUAUUUUUUUCCAAAUUUUCUUAAUUUAUUUUCUUUUUAUCAAUUAUUUUUAAAUUUAAAUUUUUUUCUUUUCGUAUGCGUGUUUUUUUAUUUACUUUUUUUUUUUUGGAAAUUUGAAUCUUAUAGAUAUUUUAACUUUUUUCUUAAUUUAAUUUAUUUUCCAUCAAUUAUUUUUCUUUUUUGUUUUUUGCUUUUUUUAAAAUUUAUUUUUGUCCUUAAUUUAAUUUUUUCCCUUUUAAUGUGUGAUGAAAUGAAUUUAUUUCCUGCAUACAAUAGCAUAUAAUUUGAUUGGUUAAAUUUUAAAAUAUUAAAUUUUCUUCCAUAAUUUCUCAUAUAUGGUUUUAAUUGACGGAUCCGGUCGGGGCAGCCCUUUUGUCUUCAUUUUUUAUUUUCAAUUUAAAUCAUUUUCCUUUUUGUUGUUAUUUUUCUAUUUCCCUUCUUUAAUCUAAAAUCCUAUAUAUUUUUAAAUUUUUUUUCUUAAUUUUUUUCUUUUCAUCAAUUAUUUUUUUCAUUUAUUUUCUUUUUUGUAUGUGUAUUUUUUAUUUAGCUUUUUUUUAGGGAAAAAAAUUGAAUCUUAUAGACUAGCCAUAGUGAGGAAGAAGACGACUGCAAGACAAACAAAAUUGUAAUGUUUCAUUUUUAAAUUAUGUUAAAUAUAUAGUAAAUUGGAGUGAUAUAUUAUUAUUUAUGCACGGUGGCGAUUGUGAUGUUUUCGCAAUCAAGUAUAUUGAACUUUUGAGUAUCGAACAUGGUGUAAAGUUUAUAAACCAAAGACACAUUGAUAAUUGUAGGAUGAAGCUUGCGUCCGACUUAUAUGCAUAUAAUUGUGAUCCGUAGUAUAUUGCAUUAAUUUUUUUAUUUUAUUUUUUGAAAAUGUAAGCAUUGUUUAUGUAAUUGUGAAUAUAUUUAAUUGUAAUAAUUGGUUGAAAAAUGACUUUAAAACAUUUAACUGUGACUAUUUUGUAAUGUAAUUAUAUAUUUAAUCUGAAAUAAAGCGGAGAUCAAAGUAUGGGAACCUAAUAACGUGCUAUAAAUAGAUGAUUUGAAUGGAUAUUAGAAAUACAUCGGAUUAUUAUGUAGUGUAAUUUGACAUGUGCAAAAUUGAUGAGUAAGUCCUGUUGUGCCCAUUAUUCGUAUCUAUGCGGUUGGAAAAACUCUUCAAUAGAUGAUAUUCUAAACAUACCUCUAUAAAUUAUUGUAUAUUUUUCAUUGCUUGCGUUGAGGUGGAAAUGAAAAAUAAUCACAAGUGGAAUUGGUUUUGAGAACUUCAGACAAUUCAUGAGAUAUGAACGAGUCAUUAGUUUUAAUCACGUAGACAUGCAUAAUGGUCAAAUUGGAACAAAUAUUGAAGUUGGUUACUAGUUUAAAAUAAAAAUAAAAUUUAACGGCUAUCAUGGAAUAAUUCUAUAUAGUUCAACUAAUAGUAUGUUAGGCAAAGCUUGAUUAAGCUUAUAAAUUAGUAGACAUAAUUUUGUCUAAACAUUCUGUAAGAAAUAACAUUAUCAACUUUUUAUCCACAUAUUUUGUAAAAUCAUGAAUUAUGAUCUGGAAAAAAAAAAUCUUUACCAUAAUUGCACUAAGCCUAUAUUUAGCUCAUAUUUAUAAACACUCAAAUCAUUUUUCAUCAACAUAUUUCAAGAAACCAACUAGUAUUAAUCACUUAUACACUACUUCUAUUUAAAAACAAAACAAUUUACAAACACUUCACAAACAUUCUAUAAAUGUCAAGUCAAGUCAAUCCAUUAAAAGUCAACUAACUUAACAAAAUAAUUCAAUACUGAAGUAGUUCGACUUAAUCAUAUAUCUAGUUGUUCAAUUAUAAGCUCAACCACUUAGAUAAAAUAUUGAAUGGCACAAUACAACUUAUGUUUUAAAACCCGACAUGUUAUUUAAUCAAUUAAAAAUAUUUUGCUUCAUCUUAUCUUAUCGCUGUUGGUGUUGCUAUUCUUAAGAAUAUUUCGUUAUCUCAAAUUUAGUCUUGGGGAUGUAGAAGUUGAUUGAAGCAUUAAGUUUAUCGGUGAGAAUUUUCAUUUAUGUUUACUCCGACCUGCAUAUCUAUGAUAUUAUUAUCUAGUAGUAUUCAAUCCUUUUUUGCAAAACACAUACUUAAUAUCUACAAGUUAUUUCUAAUGUUAAUGAUGCUAUAAAAUUUAUAGAGGCAAGGACAUCGAGAAAUUGAAGCUCAAAUCUUUAAGGAAACAUAUUGGAUUGGUCCAACAAGAGCUGCCUCUUUUGGCCACAUUAAUCCAUAAAAGGAUUUAUCUAUGCAAAAACAUGACCAAUAAGGAACGUCACAUCGCCCCUGGAUGAACAAGGCCUACGUGGCUCUGUCCAAAUGGCAUAACCCUCCAUGAAAACAUUCUUAUGGUUAAGAGGGUGCUUCAGAAGGAGAUUAUAGAAGCAACAAAGCUUACUAAUGCACAUAGUUUCAUCAGUGUCCUUCCAAAAGGCCUAUUUGACUAAGGUUUGUGAGCAAUGUGUUCAACUUUUUGAUGAGCAAAAGCAAAGAGUUGUGAUUGCACGCAUGAUGACAUGAGCGAAAAUGAAGCAAAAUGAACUCAAAAUAAGUAGAAACUACACCCAUAUGUUUCAAAUUACUAUAUGUUUUUUUGGGUCACGAGGUUUCAAUUUCAUUCCAGAACUAAUAAAUGAAUGUUUGGAACAUGAUAGAAGACUUGUGCUCUUGAAUGAAUAGAUGUAUUACAUUUUUUUAUCCCCUACUCAUUAUCUUUGUUUUUUCUUCAUUAUCAAGUGUGGUGUAGUUUCCAAACGAAUGUAUAGUGUUACUCAUUAUCCUUUGAACUUUGUGUGGAUUGUGACAUUAAAAUGUAGUCCAAAUUCUCGUCCUUACAUUUUCAAGUGUUAAAGAGUGAAAAUGAAACUAAAUGAACAUGUAAUUAGUAGAAAUCACUACAUAUCAUUUUGGGUCACAGGAUCUAGAUUUCACAUUUAAAACUAAUGCGUGAACUAUAAUUCACCAUGGUGUCCAAAUUUAAUGAAAAAUUGAAUACAUUCAUUGUCAUGUGGAUACCUGUGCAAAUAAAGUAAAUGGACAUGAAAUUAAUUGAAAUGAUAUCUAACCAUUUAAAACAACAACCUGCCUUUUUUUAUUAUCGGGAAUUAGUUUCACUCCAAAACUUGUCAAUCAUAUUUUGGAACAUCUUUUGAGGUUUGUACAAUUAAACAAGCUAUUUUAUUGGUUAUCUUAUCUUGGAAUAUAAUGAAAUUUGAGUUACUUAACUUUGUUUGUAAUGAAGUCCAGUGUACUUUACUGACAAAAAAAUAGUAUUGAUAAUUAUCACGUGAACUUUAUAUCGACUAUUGUGUUUAAAUAUAGUGAAGAUUUGCAUUCAUUUAUUUUUAUGUGAAUACUAGUGCACAUAAAGUUAAACUGGCAUGAAUUAGUUGAAACAACAUCUAGCCAUUUAAAACGACAACAUGUCAUUUCAGGUCACGAGGUCUCUAUUUUAUUCCAAAAUUAGUCGAUCAUAUUUUGAAACAUAUAUAAGUUAAACGAGCUAACUUGUUGAGUAUAUUAUCUCAUAAUUGAAAUAUAAUAGAAUUUUAGUUACUUACGUUUGUUUGUAAUGAAGGUUAGUGUAGUUUACUCAUUGAAAAAUAGCGUUGGUAACUAUCAUGUAAACUUCAUAUUGACUUAGUCUCCAAAUGUAUUUAAAAAAUUGAUUAAUUAUAUUUUCAUGUAGAUAAGAGUGCAUAUAAAGUGAAACAGACAAAAAAUUAAUUGAAAUGACACCUAACCAUUUUAAAAUAGCAGCACGCCGUUUUAGGUCUAGUGGUCUCGAUGUCACUUCAAAACUAGUCAAUCAUACUUUGAAACAUCUUAGAAGACUCGUACAAGUUAAACGAGUCAAUUAUUUGAGUAUCUUAUCUCAUAAUUGGAAUAUAAUAGAAUUUGGGUUAGUUACCUUUGUUCGUACUGAAGUGUAAUGUAGUUUACUCACGAAACAAUAAUGUUGAUCGCUAUUGUGUGAACUUUAUAUCGACCUUGGUAUCCAAAUAUAGUAAAAACUUGAAAUCGUUCAUUUGUAUAUAGAUACGAGUAAAUAUAAAGUAAAAUAAACACAAAAAUAGUUGAAACAACAUCUAGUUGUUUUCAAUCAUGGGAUUUCGAUUUCACUCCAAAACUAAUGGAUCAUAAUUUUGAACAUCUUAGAAGACUUAUACAAGUUAAACAAGCUAAUUUUUUGAGUAUCAAGUCUAGUGUAGUUUGUUCACAGAACAAUAUUGUUAAUCACUAUAGAGUGAACAUUUUUAUCGAUCUUGGUACCUAAAUAUGGACGCGAGUGAAAAUAAAGUGAAAUGAACACAAAAGUAGUUGAAACGGUACCUAAUAAUUUAAAAUGACAGCAUGCCAUUUUGAAUUACGGAAUCUCAAUUUCUUUCUAAAAUUAGUCGAUCAUAUCUUAGAAUAUUUUAGAAGAUCGAUCAUAUCUUGGUAGUUUAAAAUGACAACAUGCUGUUUUGGGUUACAAAGCCUCGAUUUCACUUCAAAAUUAAUCGAUGAUAUCUUGAAAAUUAUUAAAAGACUCACACAAGUUAAACAAGAUGAUUUGUUAAAUAGUUUAUCUUAUAAUUAGAAUAUAAUCAAAUUUGAGUUACUUACCUUCACUUGCAGUUAAGUCUUGUAGUUUACUCACUAAACAAUAAUGUUGGUCAUUAUUGCACGGACUUUGCAUUGAUAUUGGUGUCCAAAUGUAACAAAAUAUCCCAUUUGUUCAUUUUAUGUAGAUAAGCAUGAAAAUAAAGUGAAACAAAUACAAAAUUAGUUGAAAUGAAAUCUAAUCAUUUAAAACGGUAGCAUGCCUUUUUGGGUUAAUGGAUACCGAUUUCAAUCUAAAUAUAGUGAAAACUUGUUUACGUUAAUUUCAUUUGGGUACUAGGUUAGUUAAAACGUCAUCAAUUCAUUUACAAUGACAUUAUAUCGUUUUUAGUCACGGAUUCUCAAUUUCAUUGCAAGGAUUCUCAAUUUCAUUCCAAACAUAGUUAAAACUUGUUUUCAUUAAUUUUUAUGUGGAUGUGGGGGAAAAUAAAGUGAAACAAACACGAAAUUGGUUAAAAUGACAUUCAGUUAUUUAAAAAUGCAGUAUGACAUUUUGUCGUCAGUUUUAAAUUGGGGUAUGAAAAAUGAAAAUAAAAGUUUGGGGGAUUUGAUAAGUGCUUGUUUGGUAUAAAUUUUAAGCCAAUUAAAAUCAAUUUUUUGACCGUUAUUUCACUAUUUUAAUCGUCAUUUUUUUAAUUCUUCUCUCAUAGGCAGGAUUCAUUUUAUCUCCAACGGUUAAAAAAUCAAUUAUCAAAAUCCCUACCAAGCAUGCACUAAAUUUUGGUUUGAAAUUGGGCAUUUGAGACAUUUAAAUGAAGGGUAUUUCAUACUUUUAAUAUAUGACAAAUUUGAGUAAAAGCUAUUUUACCAAACAUUAUUGUGGACUAGUCUUUGUAAGCAAAUUUCUUCAAUAAACUGAUCAUUAUUGCAUUCAAACAUGCUCAAAUUACUGUAUUUCCUGAAUAAUCAAUUGGUAAAACUGGUUAAAAAAAUCAAAGCAAUAAUUCAAUAUUGUAAAAUAUACCACUUCAAGUUCUUAGUUCAUCCUUUUUAUUAUACACAGAUUAUUGCUAUACUUCUGCAGAAAAGAGAUAGAAGGGACGAAGGCUAUUUGCGUAAAAUAUCAUUUAUUGAAAAGGAGGCUUCUUUGUUUUACUUGUAAACCAGGUACGUUAUUAUUCGUCAUUCAAUAUGUUUUCAGAAAAAUCUGUUGUAUUUUCUAAAAAAGCAGGCUUGUUGUAUUUGUACCUUUUACCCUAAUCUCGAUUUUUACUGCGGUUAGCCAAAGACGUUUGAACUUUUUUAGAAAUUAGUUUUGUUUUCAGAUUUUUGGAAAAAAAGUUCGCUUGCUUUCCAAAAAUGUACUUCUACGUGUUUUUUGAGACAUCAUUGCAUGGUGAAGUUAUCAAUAUCAUGCAUUAUGAAGUUUGAACAUAUCAUCUCAAAUUCAAUCUUGAACAGUACUGUACUUGAAAUCUUGAACAAUAGGAUAAUUGAAAGUGAUUUUAAUAUCAACACAUGCAAAUAUAUGGUGCGAAACUUGUGGAAUGCGUAUGAUCUUGAAAUUUUUUUUAUUAACAAAUAUUUGAUCUUAUCACCACCCUAUUGAAUAAACCAAUACAGGAGAACUUCAUGCUAAUCACACAACAAUUAAAUCUGGGGGAAUUUCCACUUCCUACGCUGCUAGCGUUAUUUUCUUGACAAUAUUUUUCACUUUGAACCUGGGGAUUUUAUUUUAUAACUGGAAAUUUUAAUUGCUUUCACCCUUUUAAGUAAACGAUAUGAAACAAACUUCUAUGGUUGAGGAAUGAAAGGAGGGAAGGGAGGGAAGAAUCCAAAUUUAGGAUGUUGGAAAGGAGGAAGGUUGGGGAGUGGAGGGCAGGGUUUCUUAUAGAAUGGUGGGAGUGGUUUAUAAAUUGGAAUUGGAGGUGGAAGUGGCUUUACUAUUGGAGGAAUGUAAAUUGGUGGCUUUGGCUUGUAGAUUGGAAUUGGAGGUGGAAGUGGCUUUACUAUUGGAGGGAUGUAAAUUGGUGGCUUUGGCUUGUAGAUUGGAACUGGUGGUGGUAGUGGCUUUACUACCGGGGGUAUGUAAACCGGUGGCUUUGGCUUGUAGGUUGGAACUGGUGGUGGUAGUGGCUUUAUUAUCGGAGGUAUGUAAAUCGGUGGCUUUGGCUUUGGUUUGUAGAUAGGAACUGGUGGUGGAAGAGGCUUUACUACCGGAGGUUUGUAAACUGGUGGCUUUGGCUUUGGUUUGUAGAUUGGAACUGGUGGUGGAAGCGGCUUUACUGGAGGCUUUGGCUUGUAAAUAGGGACAGGUGGAGGAAGUGGCUUUGGUUUGUAAAUGGGGACGGGUGGAGGAAGCGGCUUUUUGUAAAUGGGAACUGGGGGAGGAA